GAUGAACGCUGGCGGCGUGCCUAAUACAUGCAAGUCGAGCGAACAGACGAGGAGCUUGCUCCUCUGACGUUAGCGGCGGACGGGUGAGUAACACGUGGAUAACCUACCUAUAAGACUGGGAUAACUUCGGGAAACCGGAGCUAAUACCGGAGAAUAUAUUGAACCGCAUGGUUCAAUAGUGAAAGACGGCUUUGCUGUCACUUAUAGAUGGAUCCGCGCCGCAUUAGCUAGUUGGUAAGGUAACGGCUUACCAAGGCAACGAUGCGUAGCCGACCUGAGAGGGUGAUCGGCCACACUGGAACUGAGACACGGUCCAGACUCCUACGGGAGGCAGCAGUAGGGAAUCUUCCGCAAUGGGCGAAAGCUUGACGGAGCAACGCCGCGUGAGUGAUGAAGGUCUUCGGAUCGUAAAACUCUGUUAUUAGGGAAGAACAAAUGUGUAAGUAACUAUGCACGUCUUGACGGUACCUAAUCAGAAAGCCACGGCUAACUACGUG
rnacentral:rRNA from 1 species